AGGGCGCGCAGGCGGCGCGGGUGCGCGGUGCGGCGCUGGUAUCCAGAGGACGCGGUCACCGCCUCUGGCAUUUGUCGUUCUGCGCUUCUCCGCAAGGACCCUCUGUUAGGCAGGCGCCCACCGUAAGCCUCCCGGGCCUUGUGAACCUGCAAACCCAAGUCUGAGAGACGAUCCGCCUUCAGCGCUUUCCAGCUUGGCAGAGAGGCUUUCCCGGCGGGGAUCUUUGGUUGGCGCUGGCGAUGCGCGGGGAAGAAAGGCGAGGAGCGGCGUCCAGGCUGGGUGAUGUCCCAGCACGAGUAGGCGGGAUGCGCUCGCUUGGUCCUCCGGGCGCCCGGUCCCUGCCCGCGUCGCGCGCCCACCCCUGGGGACGAGAAGGCGGCCGCCUGAGGACCCCCGCCCGCGACCUCCGCGAGUCUGGAGCGCAGAGGACAGGGUCUGGCUGCUCUUUGGCCUUGGAUGGAAAGUGGGGAAUUGGGUGGGGGGCUGCGGACCCCUUAACGUGGAUUACUUGGUGUGUAUCAGCUGGGCUCAGAAGACCCACGACCUCUUCUCCAUCCGUGGAUUGAUUUGUUCUGCUUAACAGCUGGGUCGCCAAGCUGGAGGUAUUUUUCCCUCUCCACCCUGGUCUUCUCCUGUAACGUGUGGCCGCCUUUUCCAGCACGGCCUCCUGCCUUCCUGGUGCACUUUUUGGAGAACGUGGUGGAAUCAGAGGUUUCUGGCUGACUCGGUGGGUGCUUUGAACCAGGAAAGGACAAGAAAGAGGUGCCACCUCCUGAGUCCUGGUUCCUGCGGCUCCGUCGAAUCUGCAGUGAAGGCCUUUGGGAAGCGUGGGUUAUGUGGGUCCAGGGGUCCCAUCCUCCCGUGGAGGCCCUUGACCUGAGGAUCACUAACUCACACCCCACCGACUUCCGGCCCCCAACAAGGGCAGUGUUCCUCUUGCUCCAUUCUGCUCUGAAGUCCCCCAAACCGCUUCCUGGGGCUGCUUAGUGAAAUACAAGGCUCAUCUCUGAGGACCUCUACAGGGCUGGAUGGGAAGGACUGAUCCACAUUCCCACCAGGAAGUUUAGCAGAACCCCCGCGUGCCACCUGGACCCCUUGGAAGGACCUGGCUCAGGCUGGACCACCUCUUGAGAGGCAGGAGCUCUGGAUUUGAUCAAGAAUUCUUUGCUGAGCAUGGUGCCUCAUGCCUAUAAUCCCAACACUUUGGGAGGCCAGUGUGGGAGGAUCUCUUGAGCCCAGGAGUUCAAGACUAGCCUGGGCAACACAGAGAGACCCCAUCUCUAAAAUAAUAAUAAUAAUAAAAUAAAAAAUUAGCAGGGCAUGGUGGCAUGUGCCUGUAGUCCCAGCUACCCAGGAGGCUGAGGCAAGAGGAUGGCUGGAGCCUGGGAUGUUGAGGCUGCAAUGAACUGUGAUUACCCCACUGCACUCCAGCCUGGGCAAAAGAGCGAGAGACCCUGUCUCAAAUAAUAAUAAUAAUAAUAAUCUUAUUUUGGAGAAUAAAGAGACCUCUGGAUUUGAGGUGCCAUUUGGGUAGAAAGAAAAGACGUUUACACCGAGAAAUAGUCUGUGUUGCCCUGAAGGAGCAGAGGGAUGCAUCGCUGGAGGUGACCUACAGUUGAAGAAGACUCAUUAUGACAGACCUUGUCCUUCUUCCUUGUGGAAAGUGUUUCCUCUGCUGCUACUGCUCAUGAGACUCUUCCCCCUCCCUGUCCCAGGGAACCAAAGGGCUUUCUACCACACCCUUUCUUGCCCCCCGCCUCCCAUGUCUGCUGUGCCUUUGUACUCAGCAAUUCUUGUUUGCUCCAUUAUCUUCCAGCCGGAUACAGAGUGAAUAGUUAACCACACUUAGGUCAAAUAGGAUCUAAAUUUUUGUUCCUGCUCCGUGUAAAGAGGCCAGUGUUUGUGUGUUGCAAGCAGCCUUGGAAUAGUAACUCUUCUCAUUUGUUUGGGAUCUGGCCACCAAGUUCCAGAAUGAUACACGGAUCAGUGCAGAAGUUCAUCAGGCUCUCGGACCUUAGGGCUGUUGGAGAAGGCUUCAGCAGCAGAACUGAUGGUGAAGGCUCGUGUUCUCCAUCCUCAACUUUCUUUGCUUCGAUCAUACACAAGAAUACAUUUGGAAGGGCAAAAAAUGAACACUGUCGUUCAUUGCAGCCGUGUUUUGUGACACAGAUGCACAGUCUGCUGUGAAGACCUUCUCUCAAGUGGCAUUUGGGAGUCCAUGCCAGAUCAUGGUGCUUCAUGAGAGACUGACAGCUAUCAGGGGUUGUGGCACUUAGUGAGGACUCUCCUCCCCCAGUGUGUGCUGAUGACACAUACACACCUGACAAUAGCUUGAGUCUUCUCUGUUCCUUUUACUCUGUAGCCAACAUACACAUGAUUUAAAACCCUUUCUAAAUAUCUAUCAUGGUUCAUCCUUGUCCAAAUGCAGAGUCAGAGCUAUUUGUACUUCAUUAUUAUUUCCAAGGCGAAUAGUUGGCUUUCUUUUUGCAAAAAUAA
rnacentral:lncRNA from 1 species